AGACCUGAAGAGAGAAGCAGGGUCUGACCCGCAGCCUGUGUGGCAGCUGUUGAUCAGUACUUGCCUCUCUCUUUCUCUCCA
rfam:Myotis davidii contig44791, whole genome shotgun sequence.